AAGGAGUUUAACAUGUGUGCGAGUCAAAGGGUCCUACGAAACCCCUAGGCGCAGUGAAAGUGAAGUUCAUGCUGCACUUCUGCACAUACGCGGUGCAGUGUGGCGAGGUGAGAUCUCGUUGUACUCAUGACACACGCCUUAGACCUUACUGGGCAUUAUUGGGGCAACGAGCGCAUCACCGGCCCGUCCCAUGAUGUGGUCAUGGGUGUACUUGUACGUGGAGUGGCGACACUUUGCGUGCAAAGCCUGUGCGUCAUCGGGGCGGAGCAUGAGCACACACGUUGAGACCCGAAAGAUGGUGAACUAUGCUUGCGUAGGUUGAAGCCAGAGGAAACUCUGGUGGAGGACCGUAGCGAUUCUGACGUGCAAAUCGAUCGUCAAACGUGAGUAUAGGGGCGAAAGACUAAUCGAACCAUCUAGUAGCUGGUUCCCUCCGAAGUUUCCCUCAGGAUAGCUGGCGCUCAUUGGUAUAAUCAGUUUUAUCCGGUAAAGCGAAUGAUUAGAGGUACUGGGUUCGAAAUGGACUCAACCUAUUCUCAAACUUUAAAUGGGUGAAAUGCUCGACUCGCCUCGUGUGCGUGUGUGUAAUAACUGCGCGGAGUCGGGCGUUGAAUGUGCGAGUGCCAAGUGGGCCAUUUUUGGUAAGCAGAACUGGCGCUGUGGGAUGAAUCUAUCUUACACGCCCUUCUAUGUGUAGCGUUUUACACAUUUUAUGAAUCAAGGUGGCACAACUUUUGAAUAAGCCAAUAACCUCAGAAUGUCGUGGGCAUGAGGUCAUUCAAUCAAAAAAAAAUGAAAAAGGUUGAAAAGUUUAAUCGUAAAAUUU
rnacentral:ncRNA from 1 species